rnacentral:rRNA from 1 species
CUAUACAUGCAGUCGAACGCACAGCGAAAGGUGCUUGCACCUUUCAAGUGAGUGGCGAACGGGUGAGUAACACGUGGACAACCUGCCUCAAGGCUGGGGAUAACAUUUGGAAACAGAUGCUAAUACCGAAUAAAACUUAGUGUCGCAUGACACAAAGUUAAAAGGCGCUUCGGCGUCACCUAGAGAUGGAUCCGCGGUGCAUUAGUUAGUUGGUGGGGUAAAGGCCUACCAAGACAAUGAUGCAUAGCCGAGUUGAGAGACUGAUCGGCCACAUUGGGACUGAGACACGGCCCAAACUCCUACGGGAGGCUGCAGUAGGGAAUCUUCCACAAUGGGCGAAAGCCUGAUGGAGCAACGCCGCGUGUGUGAUGAAGGCUUUCGGGUCGUAAAGCACUGUUGUAUGGGAAGAACAGCUAGAAUAGGAAAUGAUUUUAGUUUGACGGUACCAUACCAGAAAGGGACGGCUAAAUACGUGCCAGCAGCCGCGGUAAUACGUAUGUCCCGAGCGUUAUCCGGAUUUAUUGGGCGUAAAGCGAGCGCAGACGGUUUAUUAAGUCUGAUGUGAAAGCCCGGAGCUCAACUCCGGAAUGGCAUUGGAAACUGGUUAACUUGAGUGCAGUAGAGGUAAGUGGAACUCCAUGUGUAGCGGUGGAAUGCGUAGAUAUAUGGAAGAACACCAGUGGCGAAGGCGGCUUACUGGACUGCAACUGACGUUGAGGCUCGAAAGUGUGGGUAGCAAACAGGAUUAGAUACCCUGGUAGUCCACACCGUAAACGAUGAACACUAGGUGUUAGGAGGUUUCCGCCUCUUAGUGCCGAAGCUAACGCAUUAAGUGUUCCGCCUGGGGAGUACGACCGCAAGGUUGAAACUCAAAGGAAUUGACGGGGACCC